UACGUAGGGUGCGAGCGUUAAUCGGAAUACUGGCGUAAGGCGCAACGCAGGCGGAGUGAUUAAGUCAGCUGUGAAAGCUCCCGGCUCAACUGGGAAGGGUCGGCUGAAACUGGUCGUCUGGAGGGCAACAGAGGAGUGUAGAAUUGCGGGUGUAGUGGUGAAAUGCGUAGAUAUCCGCAGGAAUACCAGUGGCGAAGGCGGCACUCUGGGUUGUACCUGACGCUGAUGUGCGAAGGCUAGGGGAGCGAACAGG
rnacentral:rRNA from 1 species